rnacentral:rRNA from 1 species
GAUGAACGCUGGCGGCGUGCCUAAUACAUGCAAGUCGAGCGAACAGACGAGGAGCUUGCUCCUCUGACGUUAGCGGUGGACGGGUGAGUAACACGUGGAUAACCUACCUAUAAGACUGGGAUAACUUCGGGAAACCGGAGCUAACACCGGAUAACAUGUUGAACCGCAUGGUUCAACAGUGAAAGACGGUCUUGCUGUCACUUAUAGAUGGAUCCGCGCCGCAUUAGCUAGUUGGUAAGGUAACGGCUUACCAAGGCAACGAUGCGUAGCCGACCUGAGAGGGUGAUCGGCCACACUGGAACUGAGACGCGGUCCAGACUCCUACGGGAGGCAGCAGUAGGGAAUCUUCCGCAAUGGGCGAAAGCCUGACGGAGCAACGCCGCGUGAGUGAAGAAGGUCUUCGGAUCGUAAAACUCUGUUAUUAGGGAAGAACAAAUGUGUAAGUAACUAUGCACGUCUUGACGGUACCUAAUCAGAAAGCCACGGCUAACUACGUGCCAGCCGCCGCCGUAACAC